rnacentral:rRNA from 1 species
AUUGAACGCUGGCGGCAUGCCUUACACAUGCAAGUCGAACGGUAACAGCACUUCGGUGGCUGACGAGUGGCGAACGGGUGAGUAAUACAUCGGAACGUGCCCGAGAGUGGGGGAUAACGCAGCGAAAGCUGUGCUAAUACCGCAUACGAUCUACGGAUGAAAGCAGGGGACCGCAAGGCCUUGCGCUCAUGGAGCGGCCGAUGGCAGAUUAGGUAGUUGGUGGGAUAAAAGCUUACCAAGCCGACGAUCUGUAGCUGGUCUGAGAGGACGACCAGCCACACUGGGACUGAGACACGGCCCAGACUCCUACGGGAGGCAGCAGUGGGGAAUUUUGGACAAUGGGCGAAAGCCUGAUCCAGCCAUGCCGCGUGCAGGAUGAAGGCCUUCGGGUUGUAAACUGCUUUUGUACGGUACGAAAGGUACUUUCUAAUUAAAGAAGGACUCAUGACGGUACCGUAAGAAUAAAGCACCGGCUAACUACGUGCCAGCACG